CCUACGGGUCGCAGCAGUGGGGAAUAUUGCACAAUGGAGGGAACUCUGAUGCAGCAACGCCGCGUGAACGAUGAAGGCUUUCGAGUCGUAAAGUUCUUUUAUAUGGGAAGAUAAUGACGGUAUCAUAAGAAAAAGCCCCGGCUAACUACGUGCCAGCAGCCGCGGUAAUACGUAGGGGGCUAGCGUUGUCCGGAAUCACUGGGCGUAAAGGGUUCGCAGGCGGAAAUGCAAGUCAGGUGUAAAAGGCAGUAGCUUAACUACUGUAAGCGUUUGAAACUGCAUAUCUUGAGAAGAGUAGAGGUAAGUGGAAUUUUUAGUGUAGCGGUGAAAUGCGUAGAUAUUAAAAAGAAUACCGGUGGCGAAGGCGACUUACUGGGCUCAUUCUGACGCUGAGGAACGAAAGCGUGGGUAGCAAACAGGAUUAGAUACCCGAGUAGUC
rnacentral:rRNA from 1 species